AUGGCCUCCACGGGUCAAAGUGUAGUAUCUGCCCUUAUCCGUUUAAAACGUGAUAUGGGCUGCAUUUGGAGCCAAGAUAUUGAACUUAUUUCUGCAAGUUGCCGGAGUGCUUGAAUAAAGCCUGCUUCACCUCCGCCGCGGGUGGGCCGGUAUUGCACUAUCUUCGGGAUUUUAGGGGCAUC